UACGAAGGGGGCUAGCGUUAUUCGGAUUCACUGGGCGUAAAGGGUGCGCAGGCGGUUGGGUGUGUCAGAUGUGAAAUCCCGAGGCUUAACCUCGGAACUGCGUCUGAAACUACUCGACUAGAGUACUGGAGAGGGAAACGGAAUUCACGGUGUAGCAGUGAAAUGCGUAGAUAUCGUGAGGAACACCAGAGGCGAAGGCGGUUUCCUGGACAGUUACUGACGCUCAGGCACGAAAGCAUGGGGAGCAAAAGGG
rnacentral:rRNA from 1 species